ACUCACCAACAGGUAUAAAUAGACACGGCCUGCGUCCUAUUAUCUGUAUUUAUUUUUUGUUGAUAUACCCACAAUAAACGUGAUGUCCUUUAAUAUUUUGUUAGCGACCGUUACACUAUUCUUAUGGAGCUUUUCUUCAUCAGAGGCCCUAACAUGUAGAAAUUGCGAUGACAGUUCAGCUGCUUGUCGAAGUGGAAGUGUUACUAACGAAAAACCCUGUACGACGAAUGGAAGGUAUGAAAUGUUCUGCGUCUCCUUGGAAAAGCCAAACCGUGUCAUUUUAAGAGGGUGUGGUGCUAAACAUGGGUCGAGUACGGUGUGCCAGCAGUUAAUACAAAAGAAUUCAUCAUACACAAAUUGCAAAGAAUGUUCAUCACCAAAUAUGUGUAAUUCAUUCAAUCACGGAAGCUAGAAGUAUUCAUACUUAUUGUGAUGUGAUUAGCAUUUCUGUAUUUUGAGCUAAUAUCAGCUAAAUAAACGUGGUUUUGAGAA